rnacentral:snRNA from 1 species
CGUCGAUAUGUUGAACUU